rnacentral:lncRNA from 1 species
GCCUGACAAAAGGCUAAUGUUUCCCUGACCAUUAGGUCAUCACACCACAUAAUCUCUGCUCCUUUUGUUCCCCAUGAUACUGACCAGAUAAGAUGCAGCUUUCAGUCUUUACCUGGCAUCUCUCUCUUAACUUACGUCUGUCCCAGGUGCUCCCUGUAUACAGCCUUGUGUAUGCUAGUCCUGGGGGGAGGAUGUGAUGGUGAGGAAGGCUGUAGCUAGGUUUCCCUUAGAAAGGAACUGCUGGAAAUGGCAAUGGCUUAGAGGAAAUCUGAAUCCAAGAAAGGAUUGCUUUGUGGAAGGCAAAGACCGAGAAAGUGCUCAAGAUUGCACUAGUGCUAGGGAGAGAAAGACAGAAGUACCUUUGUCUAGGCAAGGCAUUCAGAAGCCAGGAAAUGAUACAAAGGAAAUGAGGGAGCUGGAUUCCCCGGGGAAGCACGCAUCAUCAGGGAUAUGAAGUUUAUGGAUAGAGUUCAUUCUGAAGAUCCACGUGGACAGAGCCGAGAAAGACCAGCUGUCUUUUGUUCCUUUGGUCCACUUUUUCUUUACUGGGCUCUGUGGUCAAGCCCCAUUUCAUUCAUGACCCUUGAGAAGAAACAGGGCUGACUCUCGCGGCAUUCAGUGUUGGGGUGGAAAGCACGUUUAUAGGGAGAGUGAGAUGAGCUAAAGAAAAUAACAGGGAUAGAAGUAGAUUUCUAGGAAUGAAAUGAGGCAGAGUCUGUCUUGGUGAAUCGAUCGCAAGGAUCAUGAUAAAAUAGCUUUCCUUUAAUACAAGGAAAAGUGACUCCCCUUUUGGAUGGAAGUCCAUUUCCUGCCCUGCCCCCUUCUUCACUUGCUACAGGGAGGUCAGAUCCCCUCUUUCAAUCCAGGGCAGGACACGUGACUGUGACCCAGCCAAGGCCAAUACCAGAGAGAUGACUCAGAGUUGGAAUGGUGGCCCCAGGUGCCCACAGGAUGACCUCCAGGUCCUGACUUCCAGCCUGAGGUCCUGCUCCUUCCUACAAUGGCUGACCCAAAGGUUCAGAGAUCGUGAGAAAGGCAUGGGCUAGAAUGACUGUCUCAAGAGGGGGUCUGGAGCCUCAUUUUCUGCCUACCAAUAAAAAUGUCUCUCCCGCUUGCAUGAAAGUGGCUGAUAUGUAAGAAGAGGCACGAGGGAAACCCUUCGUGUCAAUGACUCUCUCCUCAAGGAAUGGCCCUCUGGGGGGGUGGUGUCUGUGCUGCUAGCGGGUACCUCAUUCACCUCUCUCCCUCUCCCCCCACCUUUGGGGCCUUCUUGCUUUCAUUUUCCUUGAAUGUACAUGGGAACAGGGGAGGAAAGUCUCUUCCUGAAGUGCCUGAAACCCAGAACUGGAGCUUCUAGAGAAGCUGUUCUUCCUGUCCCGGCUUGGCCAACCUUUCUCCCACAUUCCCUAGUCUCCUGCUUCAGCUUCUCAGAAAGAACAAAAGAACAUGGUCUUCUAAUUAAAUUGAAAGUGAGACUCCAUAAUCAAACUACAGCAAGAGGCAGAGAAUUCAGGGAGAAAUGACUUAUAUUUUACUAGCCCAAAUCUACUCCCCCAAACAGACAGAUAGAUACACACAGAUACACUCUCCCUUACUCUCUCUCUCUCAGAUUAAGAGAGAGAAGCAUGUUAUUAUAUUUUAUUCCUCAAAAGAGUAAUUCAAAAAUAAGUCAGUAUGUGAAAAGCUCAGGAUCUUUUCCAGUGUGAAGGCGGGCAGGUGAGAGGGGAAGGAUGGGUCCAGGGAUGGAUUUUGUAGCUCAUCCAAUUCGGACACCUUAGGAAUAGCAUCAUGGUAAAGACGAUGAAUGUGUUCAGUCCAUUAUGUUCAGUCCACCUUCCUAUAGCUGCCCAGUAAAUGCGAUUUUUCAUGUGGUUUCUUUGUUGAGUAUGUUUGGAAUGUUCUAUUAGCCUGUAACAGUCAGUUAGGAAUGAGUUACUCUUUUUCCCUCCUCCUUCAGUUUAGGCCUGGGGCCCAAACCUCAGCUUGAUCCUAGCGGUCUCAAGGAUUGGCAUGGGAAGGGGGAAGCUUUUUUGAAUCACUUUUUUGGUCACUGAAUCUGCCAUUUUAAGAAUAAGAUUUGCUUUAUGGAAAUCAACACAUUAAUAAAUACUACAUUGAAGUUGCAACACCAUCUCACAGUGCAAUAUUUUGAGUAAAAUUUUGCUGCUAGAAUAGUCACAGACAAAAGUUUUAUCAGCAAAAUGGUUCAACUACAUUAAUAAAUAAGAUGAUGCUACUAGAGCCUUGUGUCUUGGUCUAGAAUCUUCUCUGUGAGUCGCAGAAUUAAUCACUUUUUCUUCACAGUCUUACUUGAUGGGAGCCAACAGUUGUUAAUGCUCUUAGAGCAGGAGAUUUUCUGCUUGGUUUAGCUAAUGUCGCAUGUGUAAUAUGAAAGUGUACACAACCACACCCAUAAGCAGGGAAGAAUAAUUAGCAAAUUUGUUCAAUUGUACCUAAGUUUUCUCAGUUUUGUUUUUUUUUUAAUGAAAUCUUCAGUUCUACCUAACCUGCACAGUCUGGUAUUGGUUAGCUCUGGAUCCUUGAAGAAGUUAGUUCUUUGUGAAUUAAAUAUGUAUUUGUGAAAAUUAAAAACUUAAAAAACUUACUUCUUGACAUAAAGGAUAUCAAGUAAGACAGAAAUUGUUAAACUCAUAAUUGGUUUUGUUUGGCAAAGUAAACAAGCUAAAAAUGAAUAAGUUAAUUGUUCAACCCC